rnacentral:rRNA from 1 species
GAUGAACGCUAGCUACAGGCUUAACACAUGCAAGUCGAGGGGUAACGAGAGGAAAGCUUGCUUUCCUUGUCGACGACCGGCGCACGGGUGAGUAACGCGUAUCCAACCUGCCCCCAACUAGGGAAUAACCUUGCGAAAGUAAGACUAAUACCCUAUAAUUUCCUCAGAUGACAUCUGACGAGGAAUAAAGAUUUAUCGGUUGUGGAUGGGGAUGCGUCUGAUUAGCUUGUUGGCGGGGUAACGGCCCACCAAGGCAACGAUCAGUAGGGGUUCUGAGAGGAAGGUCCCCCACAUUGGAACUGAGACACGGUCCAAACUCCUACGGGAGGCAGCAGUGAGGGAUAUUGGUCAAUGGGCGGAAGCCUGAACCAGCCGAGUAGCAUGCAGGAUAACGGCCCUAUGGGUUGUAAACUGCUUUUAUACAGGAAUAAAGUUAGCCACGUGUGGUUAUUUGUAGGUACUGUAUGAAUAAGGACCGGCUAAUUCCGUGCCAGCCGCAGCCGUAAGAC